ensembl:lncRNA
AUAAAAAUGAAAUUUAAAGAAAUAACCUUUCUCUUAGACGUAAACAUGGUUGUAUCAGAUAUACGUAUAAUACUGAGGAUGUCUCCAAGAACUCAGAAUAAUAAAAAAAGAUGGGAAAUGGAAAAGAAAAUACAUAAAUCCAUCCGGGAGGAAUAACCACAAAGAAAGAGUGGAGAAAAUGGGCAUGAGGAAUUCCUUCCAGAGCUAAUGCUGGAACAUUUGCCAUAACUGAGGCCCGAGCUCCCGGAUCCAGAGUCCCUGCCGAGUGCCCUGUGACAGCAACAAUGACUUUAUUAUGACUACUGGGACAUUUGGGCACCAGGACACAAAGAUCCCACAAGCUCCAGGAGAGCAGAGUCGAUGGCACACGAGGUGCGGAGGGUGGUCACACGGGCUCCGGUCCAGACCAUCCGUCCUGGUUUUUCAAUUCUCCUGUGCAUCUCCCUGGCUUGGGCGGCUCCUUGUGACUGUGCCCGAGGCCUCUGUCACAGGCCUGCCAUCACCUGAGAUGGGACAGCCCCCCCUUGAGGAAAGCUGGGGUUAUAAGGAGGCUCGCUCCUGAUUAUUUUCACCUGGAUCAAGUGCCUAAAAUCAGGGGUUCAGGUGAGUGGAUGGCAGGUAAGCCUGUGGAUCAGGGUUCGUGAUGAGAACAGGUGGGGUCGGGGAGAAGGCCCACUGGUCUCCUCUCGGCUCUGAACCUCGCUGUGGGCGGGGAUGACCAGGGUUGGCAGAGGGUUGGGUGGCCAGUGUCUUGAAGGUCCCCGUAAGCUCUAAACACCAUGGCUCCAAAGUGGAGGUGCACACAGAGGGGCAUUUAAAAUUCUGUGUGUGCAGAAAAACAGAUAGGCGUGUGCACAUACACAUGAAGCACACAGCGGGAUGGGUUCUCACAAAGGGACCCUGCAAACGCUUCUGCUUUGAUACCUAAAACUUUUCUAUCUAAGUUUGUUAAAGGACACACUUUUUCAAGGUAAAACUAUGACUCAUAGAAACAUAAAAGGAACCUGUGUCAAGGACGUCAUGUAACAUGUUAAUUAACGAGGGAACCGUGAGACGUGACAGCAGCACAGAGUGAAGCCGGCGAGGCCAUGUGCUCAGGCCUUCAGGAGCGCGAGCUGAGCCGCCACAGGCCACAGAAGGUGCUGGUGUGGCAGGCAUAGUGUCUGCCGGGCUGACGGAUGGCCGCCACGGACGGCGGUGACACUGCUCAAGGACAGAGGCGGGACGGCCAGGUGGCUCCAGCCGGGCCUCCAGCCCCUUUUCGGCUCAUGUGAGUUUUUCACGAGUCACACGUUCUCUCUGAUCCAAGUACUAAGGAACCAGGGGCCAAAAAACAGGACAGUCUCGAGGGGCAGACAGCAGAGAGAAGCACUGAGAUUGCUUAAAACAAACCAAGCAGCGCCUGCAGUCGCGGGCUGCGUGGUCCCCGCCCUGCGGCGGGGCGGGCGUGGUGUGUGAGAGCCGCAGAGGCGCAGCUGCAGCCGUGUCCGUCUCCCCUCCCUGGGCCCCAAGCCCAGCCCCCGAGGCCACAUCUCCUUGUCUUCGCCCCCUGAGAGCCUCAGGCAACCGCGAGGGAUGUGUCCAAGCAAACGGGUGCGGCCCAGGACCAGCACUUCUAGAGAGCAGCCCCAAGCCGGGUCCACGGCCAGCACGCGGGGACGGUGAGCAGGAUGGGAAAGGCUGCGCCAUCGGACUGGGCGCAGGGAGGGGGCCUCCAGGACCACGUGGAUGGCUGGGGCGUGUCUCCUCCAAGCAGAAGGUGGGAAGGCGCCAGCCGCGAAGAGACGAAGAGAUGUGUGGGGCAGACAGAGGGCCUGCUGGCUCAUGGGGUCUGAGCUGGUCCUGGCCUGGACUUGGGCCCACAGACUCCAGCCUCCAGCCUCCAGCCAAGAAUGUCGACACCGCAUGGCUGCCCUGGAGAUUGUAGGGUUUGCCCAGCCCUCCUGACCAGCAUCUGUGGUGAUCCGUGGGAGUCAGCUGUGGGGAGGCCGUUUCUGCGUUCCAGGGUGGGGCAGGGUCCCCAUAUAAGCUGACGCUGGUCUCGCCACACCACUUCCCUCCCUGCAUGUCUCCCUUGCCCAUCCAGCUGCUCUGUCCCCACUCUGCUCCAGAUGGGGCAUCCUGUACCUGGGGAGGACCUUUCAUUUAGGCUUCCCAAGAGGAGCAGCUGCUGUUCCAACAGGUGUCGAGUCGAGGCCACCAAGAGACUCCAAGCAGAAUCGCUGCUAUGGGGGGCCCCCAGGCACCCCAACUCUGCCCCCGUGCCCCCGCUGGGAGCCCCCAGGCACCCCAACUCUGCCCCCGUGCCCCCGCUGGGAGCCCCCAGGCACCCCAACUCUGCCCCCGUGCCCCCGCUGGGAGCCCUCCUCUGACGCCCCAACUCUGCCCCCGUGCCCCCGCUGGGAGCCCCCAGGCACCCCAACUCUGCCCCCGUGCCCCCACUGGGAGCCCCCAGGCACCCCAACUCUGCCCCCGUGCCCCCGCUGGGAGCCCCCAGGCACCCCAACUCUGCCCCUCUGCCCCCUCUGGGAUCCCUCCUCUGACGCCCCAACUCUGCCCCCGUGCCCCCUCUGGGAUCCCUCCUCUGACGCCCCAACUCUGCCCCCGUGCCCCCUCUGGGAUCCCUCCUCUGACGCCCCAACUCUGCCCCCGUGCCCCCUCUGGGAUCCCUCCUCUGACGCCCCAACUCUGCCCCUCUGCCCCCUCUGGGAUCCCUCCUCUGACGCCCCAACUCUGCCCCUCUGCCCCCUCUGGGAUCCCUCCUCUGACGCCCCAACUCUGCCCCUGUGCCCCCUCUGGGAUCCCUCCUCUGACACCCCAACUCUGCUGCCAUCCCCCCUCUGUCCACCUGAGCACUAGUUAGGGACAGAGGUGGGGAGGGAGGGGGUGCUGCUGUGCUGUCACAUCCCCCUUCAAUAAGGGAAAUGUAUAAAAUUCUUCUUUUACUACUUAAAGAAAUCUAAUUCUAGCCCAUUAUUCAGAUGGAUAGAUUGAGUUGCAGGCCCUCUUGGGAUUUCUCAGUGACGCCCCGCAGACAGGGCCGUGGGGAGGAAUCCAGCUGCCAAAGCGUGAGCCAAAAUCCAUCUCCUAAAUCCAAUAAACCAAUGAGCCAAGUGCUGAGAGUGGGAAGACCUUGGUUCCCAGAGUUCCUGGAAUUUUCUAGAAUUAGUUAAAUGCAGAGGAGAAAGGGGUUUCCUGUGCCCAUGCCCUGUGUCUUUGUCAGAAUGUACUGACCCCUGGGCGAGGCUGAGAGAAUCAGAAUUGGGUGUAAAGGACCCUUAGGGAGCUUCCGGUUCAGCACCAUCAUUUUAUACUCCAAGAAUCAGGGGCUGCCCAGAUCCUGUGCUCACAGUUUAGGCUGGUCCCCUGUGAUACAUGGCGUUUGGGAAGGCUGACCCCAGGGGUGUCAUCCAGCAUGGCAUUCUCCCCUGCCAUCAGCAGCAGGUUCUGGGUGGAGAUGUGGCCUAUCCAGGUCUGGCCUCUGACACUGGGACAGGGACCCCCUCAAUCCCAUGGCCCAGGUGCUGUAGGAAACCCCGUCAUGAUGGCAAGUGGAACCAGCCUCAGGAUGAGAUAGAACAGAAAGACUUGAACAAAAGCAAGUGUUUGGUGGUGUCAUGGAGCUGCUGGAUCAAACCACCCCUGAAGCCUGUUCCUUUGGAUCUCUCAG